AGAACUUAGCUUUUAGAAAAGAGGGGCGCUGCCCUGCUUAGUCAGGCCGAGAAACGACGUCUGGGCGGCGACUCGCGGGGGCAGCAGCGUCGACGGCGUCAAGCGGUGAAGGGCAGGCGACUCCUGACCUCGGCGAUGGCCCUCGCCGAUUCUGGAAUAGCAGCAUUCGGCGGCGUACCCUUCGCCCGAAUCCAGCAGCAGCAGCGUGGCGUGGCUCGAACCGUCGACCCUGGAGAAAACAGCAACGGCGGGCUUUCCCCUACUAGCCGGAAACCGCGGAGCAGCAACGGCGGAAACGAUAUCAGACUGAGGAAAUUAUGUUUCCUCCCUUCAUCCUUUGCACUCGAUUUCAAAAGGAAGGUAGUGAGAUGAAGAGGGGGGCAGCCGAGGAUCGGCGCCCUCGGCGGCCAGACGACCAGCGGCCGCCGCCGCGAGUGCAGCGGCGCGACGAAGCCGGCCUUCCAGAUGCAGCGGAGGCGGUAUUCUUUCCUCUGGCAGAAAUUAGGGCUUCUUCGUUCCUUCAAUAGAUUCGAGGGAGAGAAGAACGAUUGAAGCCGAAAGGAGAUGGGCGAAGGGAGCGUCCGAGUCAGGCAGGGCGACGACCAGCGACCGUUCGCCGUUCUUCCAUAGGCGGCGGCGGCGGCGAUUUCUGAUUUUGGGAGAGAAUAGGACCCUCAGUGAUCUUGUUCGGUGGACUUGACCGAGAAUUCAGGAGCGGCGGCGGCGAUUCCUGAUUUUGGGAGAGCUAGGGCUCGAUUUGGAAGGGGGAGUAGGGCUUCCAUUGUUUCUGCUGAUUUGAGAGAGAGGGGAGAGUGAGACGGCAAGGUGUGCCGCCCUCGGCCGGGCACGGCCGCGCCGGCAGCGGCGGCGGCGCCCGCCUCGGCUGGAGACGGAUCGAGAGAGAUAGAGAACCGAAGGGAGCGCCUGUUUUGAGGAGAGAGAGGGACCGAGUGGAGGAGAUAAGGAAGUGUUGGGCUAAAUUUUUGGGCUUGUCAUUUUAUUUGGUUUGGGCCAUUUCCUUGGGCCUCUUCAUUUUAUUUUAUUCUGGACCCAGAUUCAAUUAUAUUUUCCUUCUUUUGGGCUGAAAGUUAAGUUAGGCUUUUAUUUUAUUUUUAUUUUUACUUCUUUUCAGUUGGGCUGUUACUAUUAUUCUAUUUGAGUCCAUAUUUAUUUAAUUAUUUGAGUCCAACAAUCUCAUUUCAAUUGGGCCUUGUAUUUUAAUUAUUCAGUCCAAAUUUAAUUAUUUUACUUGGGCUCCAAAUUUAUAUAUAUGAAUUGUAAUUAUUUAUUUUAAUUCAAGCCCACUCUUAAUUAAUUAUUAGGCUGUAUUAUGUUGAGCCUUUUAAUUAUUUGACUUAUAUUAUUACUUCAAUUCAUAUUUGUUAAGCCCGGUUAAUUAGAUGCAGCUACCCAAUUACGAUUAAUUUUUUUACGAGGUUAUCUUAUCAAACGGAUGUUCGAUUUAGCUACUUUCUUUUAUCGAUUAAAUAGGGCGACUUCUAUUUAUUAUCAAGUGGGUUAAAACACUCUAAGAUGAGCAGAUUAAUUAUAGUUACGAUUCGAUUUCAUGAAGCGAGACUUAGUUAGAUUUCUUAAUCCAAUAGCCUGUUUAUUAAUAAAACUCUCGGGUUGUGAUGUUAGAAUAAUAAAUCAUGCAUAAGAGAUUCAUGCAUAGUUACUCACGCAUUCUCAUUAUUGGAGAAUUUUUGCUUGGGCAAAUAUCUUAUUUAAAUUCUCGCAAUAAAGGUCAAGCGCGAGAGUAAUACCUAGACGAGAGCUACUGCACCACAACUAGAGCUAUAAUCAGGUGGGCUUACUUUCCAAAUGUAUGAUUGAGUUAUUAAGCUCUAAAUAUUUCAUGAAAUGAAAACUGUUUAUCCAAUAAAUAUUUUUGUGCGCUCUGUAAUGUUUAAGGCUCGCAAUUCAUGGAUCGAUCGAGGUUCUCUUCUGACCUAACACGUUGUUUGAGAAUUGUGUACACUUGUUAGUUGUUUCGGUGGGUUGAUCUCCAUCGGGCACUAAUUCAUGUCAGAGGCGUUAUAAGGGUGCUUGGCUGGAUGUGUUCCGGAGCAUGUAUCAUGUAAGGCCUGCCUGGGUAGCGUCCCGAGGUCAAUUCAACUUGUCUGAGUUACGUCCUCAGGGCAAGUGUCAUGGGAAUGAGGGAUCCGUCGGUGGCUAAAAGGUCCGGGAUCACAGCGAGUAACAGAACAGAGUGUGACAACAGCGCGCUAAUAAAAUGAAAUGUUUUAACAUGCUUAGAAGUUCCUUUGCUUUAAAACCUUCUAAGUUAUGUCAUGAAUGAUUGGAUAAACUGCUCUUACGAAUUGUGAAAUGUUUUAAAAGUUGCAGCCCACUAAGUACAUUAGUACUUAGCCCAAAUAUUUUCAAAUGUUUUUCAGGUUGAUGGCUGGUGUUGACGAGGAGAGCUGAGGAUAGGGUUCAAUUCCGUGUUUUGACUUUCGCUGUUGUGCUAGCCUUUAUCUGUCUUUUGUUUCCUUGACUUAAUUAAAACCUUUAUGUUAUGACUCUAAACGAUAUCUUUUGUUGAGCCUAGACUUUUGACUCUCAAGUAUUUUGAUUAAGAAAUGUUGGUUAUCUGAAGCAUGAAACUAAACUUAUGUGAUCCUGAGUUUGAAUAUUGUCAUUUGAUUGGCAACUCUUAAGGCCUUUCAAUUUACCUCCUUUCAUUUUAUCUCUUUGGAAUAUGANUGUAAAGUGAGAGUAAAGAACUUAGCUUUUGAAAGAGGGGCGCUGCCCUGCUUAGUCAAGCCGAGAGAUGACGUCGGGGCGGCGGACGUCGCGGGGGCGAGCAGCGUCAAGUGGUGAAAGGCAGACGACUCCCGACCUCGGUAACUGGCCCUCGCCGAUUCUGGAAUAGCAGCAUCGGCGGCGUACCCUCACCGAACCCAGCAGCAGCAGCGUGGCGUGGCUCGAACCGUCGACCCUGGAGAAAACAGCAACGGCGGGCUUUCCCCUACUAGCCGGAAACCGCGGAGCAGCAACGGCGGAGACGAUAUCAGACUGAGGAAAUUAUGCUUCCUCCCUUCAUUCUUUGCACUCGAUUUUGAAAGGAAGGUAGUGAGAUGAAGAGGGGGCAGCCGAGGAUCGGCGCCCUCGGCGGCCUGACGACCAGCGGACGCCGCUACGGGUGCAGCGGCGCGGCGAAUCUCGUCGGCCUUCCAGUUGCAGCGGCGGCGGCGGCACCUCAAGGAGGGAAAAAUUAGGGCUCGCUCAAGCUUCGAUGGAAAUUGAGAGCGAAGAAGGCAGAGAUGGACGUGAGGGAGGAGGUUCGACCGCCGUUCACCGGAAUUCAGGAGCGGCGGCGGCGAUUCCUGAUUUUGGGAGAGCUAGGGCUCGAUUUGGAAGGGGGAGUAGGGCUUCCAUUGUUUCUGCUGAUUUGAGAGAGAGGGGAGAGU
rnacentral:lncRNA from 1 species